UUCCCGAAGCACUGGGGUUGCAGGUGUGAGCCACUCUGGCUGGCCAUAAUCCUGGCUUUUAAUGCACAUAUUUGGCUUUCUUGCUUUCUUCACUGGCAUCUUCCUCUUGUCCCACAACAUAUUAUUCAGAAUUCUUCUUUGUUACAAAAAAAGUCUUUCUUAGCUCUUUAUUUUAAAUAGAAAGAUUCGAUCUAUAUUGCCAAGUGAAAAAAAGCAAGGCUCAGAGGGGAAAAAAUGUGUGUGGAAUGAUACUUGCCCCUUAGAAGUCAGGUAUCUUCUUUGAUUAGAGCAAGUAUUGAUUUUUGAGACUCCUCUAGUUAGGGAAGGUUGUCAUUCUACCAACAGCAAUGCUUUUGUGAUCUUUUUAGCAAUUCUUUGGCAACUUUCUCUUUCCCCCAGGAACUCUUGUCUUCUCUAUAUCUCUUAAUCUAAUAAAAAAUUAUUUUCAUGUUUUGCCUUAGGAGUCAGCUCUGUGAAGUUGUAGCUGAUUUUCUAGUUCAACAUCUAAUAGCUACCCAUGUAAAGGACUCAAGGAAGGAUUGAUACACACCUUAGACCUGAACCUACCUAGAACUCAGGCUUAGUACUAUACUUCUAUAUACCAAAUGGCUCCCAUGGAAGCGACUGGUCUGCCUGAGUUCCUUUAGCCCUCUGAAUUAAUCUAAACUAUCUGAGGCACGAUAAUACUGUGCAUUUUUAUUUCUGCAUCAUAUUAGCAGACCAGUGUUUCUUAAGCAAAAAAGCAGACAUGAUUAAAGUAUUUUAACUAGGUCCCUCCAUCUUUCAGAUAAAGGACUGUCAGAACUUGAUGGAAUCAACCAGGCGGUUGCUUCACUUUUCUAAACCAUGUCUUCAGCUGUGCCAUUCACUCCUUCCUUCCCCCUUUAGGGCAGUCAAAGUUCUUGCUCUCAACUGUCUUCCCUCUUUUUGGCAAUAUGUAGUUCAGCACUCUGAACACUAGCCUGGUACUCAAUAAAUAGUAGGUAUUCAAUAAAUGUAUCAAGUGAAUGGAUGAAAAGAAUGAAUUCUUACAAAGCAAAUUACUGAGAGGCUAUAGAAAGUGUUUCAUAUCAGACUUCCUUUAAGUCCUGUAAUGUUGUAAGGUAGGUAUUAUUGUCCCCAUUUUACAGAGGAACAAAUGAAGGCUCAGGGAACAAAGUGACUUUUUUCAGGUUUACCUAUCCACUUGUGGUAGCCUGUAUAAUCCGCCCCUGCAAACCCCCACCAGUGAUAUCCACAUCCUAAUCUCUAGAACCCACAGAUAGGUUACCUUAUGUGGCAAAAGGAGUUUUGCAGAUGUGGUAAAUUAAGGCUGUUGAGAUGGGAAGAUUAUCCUGGAUUGUUGGGGUGAGCCCAGUGCAAUCACGAGGGUUCUCAUAGAAGUGGGGCAGGGGGGUCAGCUGGAUAAAGGAAGACAAGGUGACAACAAAUGCUGAGGGGAAGGAAUGAAUGCAAGUGGCCUUCAGAAACUGGAACAGGCAAGGAUAAUGGAUUGCUCCCCGCAGCUGCCAAGCGGAAUGCAGUCCUGCCCACGUCUUGACUGCAGCCUGGAAAAACCACUUCGGACUUCUGACCUCCAGAAUGGUGACCUCAGGGAAGGAGGCUGGUUGUGGGAGGAGGCUCUCCCAGUGUCUGUAUAAUCCUGGCAUGAGUGUUGACAUGGAAGACAUUUAAUUCUGGAAAGAAAAUGUGCAGAACAGUGGAGAAGUGAAAUCAAGAUGGCAGCAAUAGAAAUAAAAAGAAAUGAUGGUCAAGAAACUCAGAAGAAUAAAUGGGUGAGAUCAGGACCAGGGCUGUGUGGCAGGUUGUAAGAAAAACAUGUUUUUGCUUCAUGUAAGCAAAAGAAACUGAGAAGUUAAGAACUGGAGAAGAUUCUAAUGGAGACGUAGAAUUACAACUGUGGAAGCAUGUGUUAAAAGAGAGCCAACACAGUAACCAAAACAGCAUGGUACUAGUACCAAAACAGAUA